rnacentral:rRNA from 1 species
UACGUAGGGGGCAAGCGUUGUCCGGAUUUAUUGGGCGUAAAGAGCGUGUAGGCGGCCGUACAGGUCAGCUGUGAAAACUCGAGGCUCAACCUCGAGACGUCGGUUGAAACCGUACGGCUAGAGUCCGGAAGAGGAGAGUGGAAUUCCCGGUGCAGCGGUGAAAUGCGCAGAUAUCGGGAAGAACACCCGUGGCGAAAGCGGCUUCCUGGUCCAGCACCGACGUUCAGGCACGAAAGCGUGGGGAGCAAACAGG